UAGAUGAGUCAUUUGUUUUGAAGAAGCAAAGAAAAAAAAUUUUUGGUGGUAGGUGCGACAUAAAAAAGGGUACCCUACCCUUCACCCAACAUUCAACAACACCACAACACCAACAACAAUAGUUACACUCCCACAGUAGCUCUCGAAACAGCAUCGACAACACCAACAACAACGUUGUAGUGUGUUGUUGUUUCUUAGUGCACUUUUUAUUAUUAUUUUUUUUAUUGGUAUUCUCUCAAAGAGGGUGAAUCCAUGGAUUCUGAUUAUGGUAUUCCCAGGGAACUCUCAGAUCUUCAAAAACUUCGGUCUUUGUACCAGCCAGAGCUCCCUCCUUGUCUCCAGGGAACCACUGUGAGGGUUGAGUUUGGUGAUGCAACCACCACUGCUGACCCCACUGAUGCCCUCACCAUCAGCAGGGCUUUUCCUAAUACCUACGGACACCCUUUGGCUCACUUUCUCAGGGCCACUGCCAAAGUCCCUGAUGCUCAGAUCAUCACUGAGUUCCCUCCUAUUAGGGUGGGAGUUGUCUUUUGUGGGAGACAAUCUCCUGGAGGGCACAACGUUAUCUGGGGUCUCCAUAAUGCUCUUAAAAUUCACAAUUCCAAUAGUGUCCUGCUUGGAUUUCUUGGUGGUUCAGAAGGUCUGUUUGCCCAGAAAACAUUGGAGAUAACUGACAGUAUUCUUUCCACAUACAAAAAUCAAGGUGGUUAUGAUUUGCUUGGGCGGACAAAAGAUCAAAUUAGGACCACAGAGCAAGUUAAUGCUGCCCUUGCUGCAUGCAACAAUUUGAAACUUGAUGGCCUUGUCAUCAUUGGAGGGGUGACAUCCAACACGGAUGCUGCACAGCUUGCAGAAACAUUUGCUGUAGCAAAAUGCCCCACAAAGGUGGUUGGUGUUCCUGUGACUCUGAAUGGAGAUCUUAAAAAUCAGUUUGUGGAAACUAAUGUUGGUUUCGACACAAUUUGUAAGGUGAAUUCUCAGCUCAUCAGCAAUGUCUGCACUGAUGCUCUCUCUGCAGAGAAGUAUUAUUAUUUCAUUCGUCUUAUGGGACGGAAGGCGUCACAUGUUGCUCUGGAAUGCACUCUCCAGUCCCAUCCAAACAUGGUAGUUCUUGGUGAAGAGGUUGCUGCAUCAAAGCUUACCCUUUUUGAAAUUACAAAACAGAUUACUGAUGCAGUUCAAGCUAGAGCAGAGCAAGACAAAUACCAUGGAGUAAUCCUCCUUCCAGAAGGUCUGAUUGAGAGUAUUCCUGAAGUAUAUGCACUCUUAAAGGAAAUUCAUGGUUUACUCAGACAAGGUGUUGCUGUUGACAAUAUAUCAUCUCAGCUUUCACCAUGGGCAUCUGCUCUAUUUGAAUUUCUGCCACCAUUUAUUAGGAGACAGCUUCUCCUUUACCCUGAAUCAGAUGACUCAGCACAGCUAUCACAGAUUGAAACUGAGAAACUACUAGCUUACCUUGUUGAAGUAGAGAUAAACAAGCGUCUGAAAGAAGGAACAUACAAGGGGAAGAAGUUCAAUGCCAUUUGCCACUUCUUUGGUUAUCAAGCUCGUGGUUCUCUGCCAUCAAAAUUUGACUGUGAUUAUGCAUAUGUCCUUGGACACAUCUGCUACCAUAUACUAGCUGCUGGUCUAAAUGGAUAUAUGGCAACUGUAACUAACCUUAAGAAUCCUGUUAAUAAGUGGAAAUGUGGGGCUGCUCCAAUCUCAAGUAUGAUGACUGUGAAGCGCUGGUCACCAAAUCCAGGAGCCACAUCAAUUGGAAAACCUGCUAUUCAUCCUGCUACCGUGGACUUGAGAGGCAAAGCAUAUGAGCUGUUGAGACAAAAUGCAGCAAGUUUUCUUAUGGAUGAUAUCUACAGAAAUCCAGGUCCACUUCAGUUUGAUGGUCCUGGUGCAGAUGCCAAGGUUAUUACUCUUUCUGUUGAAGAUCAGGACUACAUGGGCCGUAUUAAGAAACUUCAGGAGUACCUUGAACAGGUUCGAACCAUUGUAAAGCCAGGAUGCCCUCAGGAAGUUUUGAAAGCUGCACUAAGCGUCAUGGCAUCAGUUACCGAAGUUCUAGCUGCAAUGUCAUCAUCUUCUACCCAUUCCCUCUCAGCCCUUUGAAGGGUAACGGUUGGAAGUUGUAUUCUUUUCAAAAUUUUCUGGCAUAAGGUUUUAGUUUCUACAUUUUAUAGCCAUGGAAGUAGUUGUUGAUUGGAAAUAAGAGUUAGAUUUGACAUGGUGCAUGUCAACGUGAGAUUACUGCAAUCAAAGUUUUGGUUCUGUGUUCCCAACUGGGUACUUUUUUGUUUAUUGUCCCUUUAUUAUUAUUUUUUUUCAGACAUGUUCCAUGUGGCAUUGUUUGAUAUUUUAGCUUGGUGCUUGAGAUUAUUAUUUUUUUUCUUAGGACAACUCCUUUUAUAUUCCAAACUUGUGUUAGAAUUUUUUUAUAGCUAUACCGAGGGUUACUUUA